CUUUGCAGAGCAGUGCAGACUGCUCACUUGAUUUGUUUUCAUCCUCUCCUUUCCGAACGGUGUUCUCUCCGGCCUCUAACACACAGGGGAGGGAGCCAAUGGGAGCCUAGUGAUUUGCAUAUGCUGAUUAAACUGCUGAAUCGCGAGCUUUCUUUCUCUGGCUGUAUCGGAAUGGAAACAAAGGCAUGCCUCUAACUCAGAGUUUGGAGUGUUAUCCCUGGAAGCCAGAAUGAACAAAAGAGGCCAGGAGGCUUGCAGUGCCUUGUACCCUGACGCUGCUGUCUGUUGCGGGCACUGCGGGCAGAGGGCCAGGCGUCAUGGUCCUUGGUGCACUGCCCUUUAUCCCAGAUUUGAAAUGCUGCAUAAUCUGGUGAAUCGAGCACCGAAUUGGAAAUCCGGGUGAGGGAAACUUCAUAAGGACUUUACUGCCAACUUGUAGGUUCGGAUGGAAAGAACAGCCGUGGGGUGCUCAGUGUCUGGUUUUAUCAUCCUGGGCGAGCUCUCGGCUACACGGACUCUCCCUCCACAUUCAGCCUUAUAGGGCAGCAGUUCAUGAAGUGGAUUUGCUACUGGACCUGAUUCAUUUCCGAAUCACAGGAUGUGAGACCUGUCCUUUUUCUCUCUCUUUUUUUUUAGUUAACAGAAACACAUUAUAGAUGAUUCACGUGAGGCCCAGAGAGGGGAAGAGAGUGGGUAAAGGUCAGUGACCCCACAGAUUACAUCCUUAGACAGUCAGGCCUUAGCUUGGGAAACACAGUUCGAUGGGGCCCAAAAGUGUCCCUGUUUGCAACAUGUACUUAAGGGGCUGAAUGUGAAGGCGUUCGGUCAACUCUAACCUACGGGACAUGUGGGAAAUUUGACAGGUCACUCCAUUUGUUUAUUUGGUCACUAUUAUCAUCUUACAAUGUGACAAACAACAACAUUUAUUUAUUUAUUGUUCUGUUGCCUGUCAGUCUGAGUGGAAAUGAAACUGGGGCUAUUAGUACACACUCUGAGCUGUAACGAUUGACUGGACAUUCCUCAGUUUCCUUCGUGACUAUAGAAAAAAGCAUUUUGUCUUCACAGGAAGGAAACAACCCACAGACAUCGUCAAAGAAACACCAGUGUAACACAAAAAUAUAACAUUUUUUAACACAAAAAUAUAACAUUUUUCUCACAAACCCGAGAAAGGCCAUGCCCAAUUCUAGGGUUUACCAAGUUGGUAUAAUUUCAUGGUAUUGUUUUGGCCAGAAAAGUGGUGGGUGGGGGGUGAGAGAGCGAGCGAGCGAGNGAGAGAGAGAGAGAGAGAGAGAGAGAGAGAGAGAGAGAGUUAGUUACUGGGAGGGAAGGAAAGAAACAGUAGGAAAACCAUCCCAAGAAAUUACCUGUGAGGAACCUGUAAGACAAUAUAUUUCCUCUACAGAAGGAAGAAGUAUGUUUGAAAGUGUGUUGGUUCUUGCUAAAUGCUUGGCAAUAAUUGUCCCUUCAGACCCUGAUUGCUGAUUCAGUGGCAGCCACUGGGCUGGCCUCCCUUCCCUCCCAGUGCCUUUGGAUGGCGGGUCAGUCAGUGUCACUUUGGUGGCCGUGCCCUCUGGGAGGUCUUCAGACCCAGCAUUCCUUCAGGGAAGGAGCUAAAAUCCCCCAAGUCCGCCUUCUCAGAGGAACUUCCUGCAGCUUGGGGGCUUCCUGUCUUCUGUGGUUUUUGAGAGCCACAGGGGAGGCCUGAUUCCCUUACUUGGAAGCUGACUGUCCUUCUGUGAGCCUGGAGGUGGCUUGGAGAAACUGGGACAUUAUAGCGCCUUAUUGUUUUUCCAUUCGAAAGACUCAUCAGCCGUGAUUUCAGUUAGGCCUGACAGCUGGCUUUUAGUCAGGACAGGGGUAAAUGUUGAUAGCUAUUUCCCAAUGGGAAGAACACUCAGGGGCCAGAAGAGAUGGUGGUGAGCUAGCAUGUCCAGGCCAGUUUCUGGAGGGGAACGUGAGGCUCAGGCGCGGGGCCGGAGAGGUGGCUGCACCUGGCCUCUGUGGCCUGACUCAGGAACUCAGAUCUGACAAGCACACAGGAGUGGGGAGAAUGGGUAGGGGUGGGGGUGUGCCAGCGACUUCGGCUUUCAGGGAUUUCAAAUUACUAGUUUCCUUUCUUUUUGGACCAAAUCAUGGGGCCUUCCCAUCACUGUGAUGGUUCAGCCAAAUCCAGCAGUCCUAUGGCCUAGACUAGAAAACAAAAGGAAACCCAAUGGGCCCUGAAUUCCUGCUGUGCCACGAAUGAGCUUUGUGAUUUUAGGCAAACAAAUUCCCUUUCUGGAGACUAUGUAUAUAUAUACUGAUGAAUUAUCUCCAAAGUCUUGCCCCCCACCCCAGCUGUGAGGUCUGUUCUUCAAGUGGCAUGUCACUUGGACCUUCAGUAUACGGAACAAGCAGCAGCGAGCAGUUCCAGUUGGCAUGGUUGGCUGAGCCAAGGGCUAGGCACCAGCCAGCUGGGCUUCCUGCUCUGGGGAGGGACCCCUGCCAGGGCCAGGACCACAGCUUGGUAACAGGUUCCUGGGGCAUCACCAACGGAGUGUGGAAAUCCCCAGGCAUUGUAGCCACAAUGGUCUCGAACAUUCUCUAACGCUCUGUAAGACAGCUCUGUAAAUGAAACGAGAUCCUGUAAUGGAAAGCACUGAGUAAAAGUGAAAGCAUAUUUGUCUGUGACUGUGACCUUUGCACAGAGUGAAGGGCACUUGUUUCUCACCUACAAGGGCCCGUGGGUUGCUGGCUGCACGGCGUUGGGAAGAACAAAACCCAAGGUACAGCUUUGGGAGGCAGCUUUGUUCUCUGUGAAAAUGGGGCCUGGAAAAGUGUUGGGCAACUGAGGAAGGGGAGAGAGAGAAGAGAGAGAUAGAUCUGAAUGGCUUUUCUUAAUAUUUUCUCUUACCUGAAAGCAAAACCCAGAAGCCAGGGAAAGCAGGAACCCCCAGGGCUGCGGCUAGUCAUCACACCACCCCCAAAUUCUUCCCACAGCUGGUUCAGUGAGCCUUGCUGGGACUUGCCAGCUCAGUCUGGUGACUUGGAAGAAUGACAAGGAGGCUGAGCUGCUAGAACUGGUGCGAUGAGCUCAUUGCCCUGACAGGUGGGAGUUUACUCACCCACUCACCCACCUACUCACCCAUCCAUUUACUCAUCCAUUCAACCAGGAAUAGCACAGACUGCACACACUAGACAACAUCUUCAUUACGCUUUUUUCCAGAUUUACCAACUACUGAGUUCCCUAUGUCCCAGCUCUUUAAAAUGCAGGGGUGAGCUAGACUUCACAGGUUCUCCCACCUCUGAAAACCCAUUCAGACAGAGCCGUAGCCCCUUGCAGAAAAGCCUGCUGUACCUGCUGGUCUGGGUCAGACGCUCUCCUGGGUGCUUCCAGGGCCUCGUGCUUAGCAGUGUCGGCCACAUGGGCUACAGGUGGAGUUCUGAGAGGCGGAGCCUGGCCUCCUCACCCACAGCUCUGCUCCUAGCUUAGCAUAACACCUGGCAUCCAGUGGGUGCUCAACAAGUACUGGUUGGAAGAGUUUCACAGCACAUAGCCCACCACACUAUGGUCUAGUUACUUGUCCAUCUUCCUUCUCUACCCCCCCUCCCGAUGUGCUGUGAGAUCCUGAAGCCUGGGGCCUCACCUCUUCCUACCUGACAUCCAGGAACUGUCCCUUCUUGUCCUGAAAGAAAGUGACACCUAUCUGAAUUAUGAUCCGGGACCUUGCCACGUCUUGCAGUGAGCUGCCUGUUUCAAUUUCCUCUCAUCUAAACAGGAAAUUGAAGACACAAUUUCCACAUCCAGAGCUAUUGAUAAGGUUUAGAAAGAAUUGAGGUGGCCUGCCUGCGAUGAUCCACAGAAAACAAUGGGUACACGGUAAUCUCUCCCUAUUAAUAGGGACUUCGAUUUGUUUAGACAAUUUAUUUAAAACUCUUUGAAUUGCUGCAAAUACAGGCUCUUUCUCUGAAUAUGCUUUUUCCAGGUUCAGUAAUAUUUAACA